GCUGCAGCGUGGGGUACUUGCUCCGGUGUGCACGCGGUAUUUCUUUACGCUCGGAACAAUGGACAAGGAUACAGGUGGAGAAAACAUAGACGAAUUUCGAGAGAAUUUCAUAUAGGCUACUGCAGUGAAGGCCUACAAAAUAGACAAUUCGGUCACGGAUGUGUUUUUUUUUUACUGUGUAUAUUACACAUUUACUUUGUUUAGCAAUGCAUUCUAAAAAUGUUGGACCAUUUUGCGAAUUUCUUCCAUUUCAGACUGAGGAGCAGGCUCUGGAGGUCCAGUCGGGGCUGUCUCUGUUUGGCCAGGCCCUGGGUGCUGUGCGGGAGUCAGUGAGCCGUGCUGCCGUGCAGAGCCUCAUCGACAACAACAAGAGCAACAUCCACAGCCUGGGCCAGGUGCUGCGCAGCCUCCACAUCAAGGUGACUCACUGAGGAUUGUGGGUGUCUCGUCUACAGCAUGACCAGUGGAUGGGACUGUGGGUGUCUCGUCUACAGCAUGACCAGUGGAUGGGACUGUGGGUGUCUCGUCUACAGCAUGACCAGUGGAUAGGACUGUGGGUGUCUCGUCUACAGCAUGACCAGUGGAUGGGACUGUGGGUGUCUCGUCUACAGCAUGACCAGUGUAUGGGACUGUGGGUGUCUCGUCUACAGCAUGACCAGUGGAUGGGACUGUGGGUGUCUCGUCUACAGCAUGACCAGUGGAUGGGACUGUGGGUGUCUCGUCUACAGCAUGACCAGUGGAUAGGACUGUGGGUGUCUCGUCUACAGCAUGACCAGUGGAUGGGACUGUGGUGUGAACAGGGGUUCCGUGUGGCUCAGUUGGUAAAGCAUGGUGCAAUGCCAGGGUUGUGGUUUCGAUCCCCAUGGGGGACCAGUAUGGAAAAAGUAUGCACUCGCUGCUGUAAGAGUGUUUCCUGAAAUGUAAGCAGUUUGUUACGUAAGACCAGGAAAUGUUCCUGGUCUGAUCAACUGGCCAGGGAAAAACUUCUGUCUCUUUCUCUUUUUAUUGGAUGUGUCUCAGUGUGCACAUACUGUUCCUCCACAGCAGAGAGUCUAGUUAUAGAUAGGAGUUCUUGGAAAAUUCAUAGACCAUGGGUACAGUCAGUCAGAUGUUCCUCUCCCCUCAGCAUGCCACCACCUGCCUGCUGUGCUUUGUUUGCUUCUCUGUCAGAAGCCAGUAACUUUUCAGGGUAGGGCAGUUCAGUGACUGAGACGGCAUUGAGCAGGCCAGACAUAGCAGUGGCUUCUAUUUGGCUGCAUACCGUUUGGCAUGGAUUAGCGGGGCGGGAAGAAAACCUGGAAUAGAACCCCUUCCACAGAACAGAUGAGUGGUGCUUUCUUUUUAUGGUUUGUAUGUUAACCCUUGUUCUUGCUGUCAUCCAUUGAACAGGACCUGUCCCUCUCUCCAGUGCCAGCAGGAAGUGACUCAGCGACCAGGAAGGUGUCGUCCCUAUCCGAGCUGUUCCGUGUCCACACCAACUUCCUACGAGGGAAGGUUCGCCUGCUGCUCACCAACGCACCUGCCUGUCAACAGAACAGCACGUGAUUGGAGCUUUCCCUGAAGGCAGAGGCUGGGAUUGGACUGUUGUUUAGAGAGAGGAUGAGGUCAUUGGACUUCUGCUGAAAUCUCUGAAUGGACUUCGAAGUAUGGAAUGUGUAGACAAGGUGAUUGUUGACUGGAUAAAAACUGGUGGGAAAGUCAGUUGAUGUGGGUGGUGCUGAUGAGAAACCAUGAACGAGUGAGAGAAAAAAACAUCACUUCUACAACUCAUUGACCUCAUCGGUUCCUAGUACUACCUGUCAGUACCACAAUGAGCUCUGAUGCAUGCAGCGGGAAUAAGCUACAGACAGUACCCGCUGGGCACAGACGUCAAUUCAAUGUCUAUUCCACGUUGGUUCAACCUAAUUUCAUUGAAAUGACGUGGAAACAAUGUUGAUUCAACCAGUUUGUGCCCAGUGGGUACAGAUCAUAUAUAAUGUCCUAAAUCCAAAGAUUCGAUUUUUCAUUUUAUUUAUACAUUGUCUUAAAAUGUGUUUUUGUAUAACUUUUGUGUUAUAAAUCUCUAUUUUCAUACUC
rnacentral:lncRNA from 1 species